GUCGAGAGGCUUUGGCAAUGGGGGAAACCCUGACCAAGCGACGCCGCGUGGGCGAUGAAGGCCUUACGGUUGUAAAGCCCUGUCAUGGGGGAAGAAAAAGCGGUGGGUGAACAGCCCAUGGCUCUGACGGUACCCCAGAAGGAAGCUCCGGCUAACUCCGUGCCAGCAGCCGCGGUAAUACGGGGGGAGCGAGCGUUGUUCGGAAUCACUGGGCGUAAAGGGCGCGUAGGCGGCUGAGUAAGUCAGAGGUGAAAUACCAGGGCUUAACCUUGGAAUUGCCUUUGAUACUGCUUGGCUAGAGGGCGGAAGAGGAUAGUGGAAUUCCUGGUGUAGCGGUGAAAUGCGUAGAUAUCAGGAAGAACACCGGUGGCGAAGGCGGCUAUCUGGUCCGCUUCUGACGCUGAGGCGCGAAAGCCAGGGGAGCAAACGGGAUUAGAUACCCGAGUAGUCC
rnacentral:rRNA from 1 species